AUUGAACGCUGGCGGCAGGCCUAACACAUGCAAGUCGAACGGUAACAGGAAACAGCUUGCUGUUUCGCUGACGAGUGGCGGACGGGUGAGUAAUGUCUGGGAAACUGCCUGAUGGAGGGGGAUAACUACUGGAAACGGUAGCUAAUACCGCAUAACGUCGCAAGACCAAAGAGGGGGACCUUCGGGCCUCUUGCCAUCGGAUGUGCCCAGAUGGGAUUAGCUAGUAGGUGGGGUAACGGCUCACCUAGGCGACGAUCCCUAGCUGGUCUGAGAGGAUGACCAGCCACACUGGAACUGCGACACGGUCCAGACUCCUACGGGAGGCGGCAGUGGGGAAUAUUGCACAAUGGGCGAAAGCCUGAUGCAGCCAUGUCGCGUGUAUGAAGAAGGCCUUCGGGUUGUAAAGUACUUUCAGCGGGGAGGAAGGGAGUAAAGUUAAUACCUUUGCUCAUUGACGUUACCCGCAGAAGAAGCACCGGCUAACUCCGUGCCAGCCGCCGCCGUAA
rnacentral:rRNA from 1 species